AGAGUUUGAUCCUGGCUCAGAACGAACGCUGGCGGUGUGCUUAACACAUGCAAGUCGAACGCGAAAGGGGCUUCGGCCCCGAGUAGAGUGGCGCACGGGUGAGUAACGCGUAAGUGAUCUACCCCUGUAUCUGGAAUAACUAUGGGAAACUGUAGCUAAUACCGGAUACGUUCAUGUGAUUGCGAUUAUGUGAAGAAAGAUGGCCUCUGACAUAAGCUAUCGUACAGGGAGGAGCUUGCGUACCAUUAGCUAGUUGGCAGGGUAAAGGCCUACCAAGGCGACGAUGGUUAGCGGGUCUGAGAGGAUGAUCCGCCACACUGGAACUGAAACACGGACCAGACUCCUACGGGAGGCAGCAGUGAGGAAUAUUGCGCAAUGGGGGCAACCCUGACGCAGCGACGCCGCGUGGAUGAUGAAGGCCUUCGGGUCGUAAAAUCCUGUCGGAUGGAAAGAAGUGCAUAUAUGCUAAUAUCAUGUAUGUUUGACGGUACCAUCAGAGGAAGCACCGGCUAACUCCGUGCCAGCAGCCGCGGUAAUACGGAGGGUGCAAGCGUUGUUCGGAAUUACUGGGCGUAAAGCGCGCGUAGGCGGUUUGUUAAGUCAGAUGUGAAAGCCCCGGGCUUAACCUGGGACGUGCAUUUGAAACUGACAGACUUGAGUAUUGGAGGGGGUGGUGGAAUUCCCGGUGUAGAGGUGAAAUUCGUAGAUAUCGGGAGGAAUACCGGUGACGAAGGCGACCACCUGGCCAAAUACUGACCCUGAGGUGCNAAAGCGUUGGG
rnacentral:rRNA from 1 species